GGAACGAUGUUCUGGUGCUUUUAAUUCUAGGCAGUGUUCCGGUUCUUUUUUUAGGCAAAAAUAGAAACCUUAUUGAAAUAAGUCUUAUUUAUACAUAUAUUUUGAUGAACAUAGUCUAGUGUGCGAUUUGACAGUCCAUGCGCUUAUUCUGUGGCUUAAAAGUUUUCCAAUGUGUUGCUUUAUUUGAAACUUCCGUAUGAUUUAUCAUGAUUUUCUUCCUUCCUAGUCUUUCCCCUCCAAUCGCUACCGGUGUGUGUAAAAUUGUGAUUGGACACGUAUAUGAAGUUGUUUUGUUUCGCCCUCACAUGUUCACACAAGCAGCAAACCUCAGGUAGAACAUAUCGUUCUAUGAAGAAGCAAGUACCCCUGACAGCGGUGUGCAAUUCGGGGCAAAGAUCAAUGUGGGUGGAGUAAAACGUUUGCAGAUUUACUUAGCAAGAAUAUGUCUUAGUGGCCAAGAUUUGAAUGAAAUCUGUUUCAAAACUAUGGCAAGACUUUAAAUUGUGUCCUAGCCCUGACUGACUGGCUGGAUCAGGGGCCUGUUGUGGAGACUGACCUGCUGUAUCGGGGCCUGGUGUGGAGACUGACCGGCUGCAUCGAGGCCUGGUGUGGUGACUGACCGGCUGUAUCAGGGCCUGGUGUGGGGACUGACCGGCUGUAUCGAGGCCUGGUGUGGGAACUGACAGGCUGUAUCGGGGCCUGGUGUGGGGACUGACCGGCUGUAUCAGGGCCUGGUGUGGGAACUGACAGGCUGUAUCAAGGCCUGGUGUGGUGACUGACCGGCUGUAUCAAGGCCUGGUGUGGUGACUGACCGGCUGUAUCAGGGCCUGGUGUGGGGACUGACCGGCUGUAUCGAGGCCUGGUGUGGGAACUGACAGGCUGUAUCGGGGCCUGGUGUGGGGACUGGCCGGCUGUAUCGAGGCCUGGUGUGGGAACUGACCGGCUGCAUCGGGGCCUGGUGUGGGAACUGACCGGCUGUAUCGGGGCCUGGUGUGGGGACUGACAGGCUGUAUCGGGGCCUGGUGUGGGGACUGACUGGCUGUAUCGGGGCCUGGUGUGGGGACUGACCGGCUGUAUCGAGGCCUGGUGUGGGAACUGACCGGCUGCAUCGGGGCCUGGUGUGGGAACUGACAGGCUGUAUCGGGGCCUGGUGUGGGGACUGACAGGCUGUAUCGGGGCCUGGUGUGGGGACUGACAGGCUGUAUCGGGGCCUGGUGUGGGGACUGACCGGCUGUAUCGUGUUGGGGUGAAGUUUCAACCUCGAAGACAUUAGACUGCUGAAUGCCUGCUCUCUUCCACCAACUCUGUUUACCAACAAAACCACUUCGCUAUUAUUGUUUUUAUUGGUAUUAUUAUUCUAUAGUUAUAUCUUUGCAGCUGUUAGUUGCAUAUUUAACUUAGUCUUU
rnacentral:lncRNA from 1 species